rnacentral:rRNA from 1 species
AGUGAACGCUGGCGGUAGGCCUAACACAUGCAAGUCGAACGGCAGCACAGUAAGAGCUUGCUCUUACGGGUGGCGAGUGGCGGACGGGUGAGGAAUACAUCGGAAUCUACUUUUUCGUGGGGGAUAACGUAGGGAAACUUACGCUAAUACCGCAUACGACCUACGGGUGAAAGCAGGGGAUCUUCGGACCUUGCGCGAUUGAAUGAGCCGAUGUCGGAUUAGCUAGUUGGCGGGGUAAAGGCCCACCAAGGCGACGAUCCGUAGCUGGUCUGAGAGGAUGAUCAGCCACACUGGAACUGAGACACGGUCCAGACUCCUACGGGAGGCAGCAGUGGGGAAUCUUGGGCAAUGGGCGCAAGCCUGAUCCAGCCAUACCGCGUGGGUGAAGAAGGCCUUCGGGUUGUAAAGCCCUUUUGUUGGGAAAGAACAGCAGCAGGUUAAUACCCCGCUGUUCUGACGGUACCCAAAGAAUAAGCACCGGCUAACUUCGUG